GACGAACGCUGGCGGCGUGCUUAACACAUGCAAGUCGAACGGAAAGACCCUGCCUUUGUGGUGUGGAUGAGUGGCGAACGGGUGAGUAACACGUGAGUAACCUGCCCUUGAGUUUGGGAUAACUUCUGGAAACUGGGGCUAAUACCGGAUAAGAGCACAUGCUGCAUGACGGUGGUUGGAAAGUUUCGGUGGUUUGGGUUGGACACGGGGCUUAGCAGCUUGAUGGUGGGGUAGUGGUAUAGCAAGGCUUGGACGGGUAGCCGGCCUGGGAGGGUGACCGGGCACAGAGUCAUAGGGGUACGGGCAGUAGUGCUACGGGAGGCAGCAGUGGGGGAUAGAGCACGAUGGGCGGAGGCCGGAUGCAGCAACGCCGCGUGCGGAAGGACUGCCGUCGGGGUGUAAACCGCGUGCGCCUGUGACGAAGCGUGAGUGACGGUAAUGGGUAAGGAAGCACCGGCUAACUACGUG
rnacentral:rRNA from 1 species